AUUGAACGCUGGCGGAAUGCUUUACACAUGCAAGUCGAACGGUAACAGGUCUUCGGAUGCUGACGAGUGGCGAACGGGUGAGUAAUAUAUCGGAACGUGCCCAGUCGUGGGGGAUAACGUAGCGAAAGUUACGCUAAUACCGCAUACGAUCUAUGGGUGAAAGCGGGGGAUCGCAAGACCUCGCGCGAUUGGAGCGGCCGAUAUCAGAUUAGGUAGUUGGUGGGGUAAAGGCUCACCAAGCCAACGAUCUGUAGCUGGUCUGAGAGGACGACCAGCCACACUGGAACUGGGACACGGUCCAGACUCCUACGGGAGGCAGCAGUGGGGAAUUUUGGACAAUGGACGUAAGUCUGAUCCAGCCAUUCCGCGUGCAGGAUGAAGGCCCUCGGGUUGUAAACUGCUUUUGUACGGAACGAAAAGGUCUCUCCUAAUACGAGGGGCUCAUGACGGUACCGUAAGAAUAAGCACCGGCUAACUACGUGCCAGCCGCCGCAGUAAUAC
rnacentral:rRNA from 1 species